rnacentral:rRNA from 1 species
AUUGAACGCUGGCGGCAGGCCUAACACAUGCAAGUCGAACGGUAACAGGAAGAAGCUUGCUUCCUUGCUGACGAGUGGCGGACGGGUGAGUAAUGUCUGGGAAACUGCCUGAUGGAGGGGGAUAACUACUGGAAACGGUAGCUAAUACCGCAUAACGUCGCAAGACCAAAGAGGGGGACCUUCGGGCCUCUUGCCAUCGGAUGUGCCCAGAUGGGAUUAGCUAGUAGGUGGGGUAACGGCUCACCUAGGCGACGAUCCCUAGCUGGUCUGAGAGGAUGACAGGCAAAACGGAAACUGAAACACGGUCAAGACUCCAAGGGGAGGAACAGGUGGGGAAUAUGAAACAAGGGGCGAAAGCUGAAGGCACCAAUGCCGGGGGUAUGAAGAAGACCUUGGGUUUGUAAAGUAUUUGAAGGGGGGAGGAAGGGAGAAAAGUUAAAACCUUUCCCCAUGGACGUCACCCGAAAAAGAAGCACCGGCAACCCCCG